rnacentral:rRNA from 1 species
AAGACCUUGCGCUUUUGGAGCGGCCGAUGUCUGAUUAGCUUGUUGGUGAGGUAAAAGCUUACCAAGGCUUCGAUCAGUAGCUGGUCUGAGAGGACGGCCAGCCACACUGGGACUGAGACACGGCCCAGACUCCUACGGGAGGCAGCAGUGGGGAAUUUUGGACAAUGGGGGCAACCCUGAUCCAGCCAUGCCGCGUGAGUGAAGAAGGCCUUCGGGUUGUAAAGCUCUUUCAGCCGGAACGAAACGGUUACGGUUAAUACCCGUGACUACUGACGGUACCGGAAGAGGAAGCACCGGCUAACUACGUGCCAGCAGCCGCGGUAAUACGUAGGGUGCAAGCGUUAAUCGGAAUUACUGGGCGUAAAGCGUGCGCAGGUGGUUUUGUAAGUCAGAUGUGAAAUCCCCGGGCUUAACCUGGGAACU